GGUUGCAUGAUUUAACAAAAGGAGGGUGAAAAGAGCCCAAAAGCUCAAUCUCCAAUUACCCUAAUUCUACCAAUAAAAUUAAUUUAAACUAAAUAAUUUUAAUAAACUAAAAAACAAGAAAAAAAACGAAAAACACAUGGAUCAGUGGAGAGAGGCGCGCUUAGUUCUUACUGGAUACCAAUUGACUAAUUAAAAAAAAAAGUCUUCAAU
rnacentral:lncRNA from 1 species